rnacentral:rRNA from 1 species
GAUGAACGCUAGCGGCAGGCUUAACACAUGCAAGUCGAGGGGUAACAGGGAAAAGCUUGCUUUUCUGCUGACGACCGGCGCACGGGUGCGUAACGCGUAUACAAUCUGCCUUAUACAGAGGGAUAGCCUUUAGAAAUGAAGAUUAAUACCUUAUAGUCUAUAUAUAUAGCAUUAUAUAAAUAGUAAAGCUUCGGUGGUAUAAGAUGAGUAUGCGUCCUAUUAGUUAGUUGGUGAGGUAACGGCUUACCAAGACAACGAUAGGUAGGGGCCCUGAGAGGGGGAUCCCCCACACUGGUACUGAGACACGGACCAGACUCCUACGGGAGGCAGCAGUGAGGAAUAUUGGACAAUGGAGGCAACUCUGAUCCAGCCAUGCCGCGUGCAGGAAGACGGCCCUAUGGGUUGUAAACUGCUUUUAUAUAGGAAGAAACCUUUUCACGUGUGAGAAGCUGACGGUACUAUAAGAAUAAGGACCGGCUAACUCCGUG